rnacentral:rRNA from 1 species
UACGUAGGGGCUAGCGUUGUCCGGAAUCAUUGGGCGUAAAGAGCGUGUAGGCGGCCCGGUAAGUCCGCUGUAAAAGUCAAAGGCUCAACCUUUGAAUGUCAGUGGAUACUGUCGGGCUAGAGUCCGGAAGAGGCGAGUGGAACUCCUGGUGUAGCGGUGGAAUGCGCAGAUAUCAGGAAGAACACCAACGGCGAAGGCAGCUCGCUAGGACGGUACUGACGCUGAGACGCGAAAGCGUGGGGAGCAAACAGG